ensembl:lncRNA
CAGAGCUUCAUUCCAAAACUGCUGCAGAGUAAGCCUCAUAUUUGCUCUCCGUGGCCACUCUGCCUGCUUGGCUUUCAGUGGCCUGCAGACUUUAAAAGCAUCCACCACACACUCAGCUGUCUACUUUCUGUCUCCUUUCCUCCCCGCUGGUUGAUCUCAUGCCAGUCAAUUGCUGCUUUCUAAAGCCGCCAAGAGAAUCAGAAUGUUUGGAUUUAACUCUGGAUAACUUUCCUGCAGCGGUCAUCAUUACAUAAACUACCAGCGUUGCAGCUUUGCAUCCAAUGUGCUCACGAUGAGUCGGAAACAUGCACUGCAGGAACUGGAGUUCAACAGCACGCAGUGAGCAGCGAGGCGACCUGGAUCGAUUCAGCAGCCGUCCUCGUCUCUCUCUGAGAACAACCUGGUGCCAGUUCUAUGACGCUGGAUCACAUGGGGGGGCGGAGGACGCCGAAGUGGUUACCCCCCCCCCCCCCCCCCCCCCACACACACUUUGAGAAUCAUCUGCGUCUCAAUGAAACAAAGCGCCGGCUGAAAUUGGGAUUGUGAAGCUGUGAGUGUGUCUGGAGAUGGCGAGCGGGAGACUGAGGCAGGAAAAGAUGGUACAUGAUGUCACCGACAUCUAUAUGGGGAGAUCACACCCUUCCCCCUCAUGCCAUUGGAGGAAUUCUUAGAAGGUUGUGAGGAGGACCAAAGCUCAGCCCUCGUGUGCCGUGGAUACGAACUCCACCUCGCUAUGGUUACUGGCAGCCAAACAGCAGUCAACAGUGCAGCGAACCGGAGGCGAUCCGUCGCCUGCCAGACCAAACUCCAUUUGAGCGAGCUCGUAUCUGCUCUGCAUCAACCCCUGC